rnacentral:rRNA from 1 species
UGGGGAAUUUUGGACAAUGGGGGCAACCCUGAUCCAGCAAUGCCGCGUGUGUGAAGAAGGCCUUCGGGUUGUAAAGCACUUUUGUCCGGAAAGAAAUCGCCCUGGCUAAUAUCCGGGGUGGAUGACGGCACUGGAAGAAUAAGCGCCGGCUAACUACGUGCCAGCAGCCGCGGUAAUACGUAGGGUGCGAGCGUUAAUCGGAAUUACUGGGCGUAAAGCGUGCGCAGGCGGUUGUGCAAGACAGAUGUGAAAUCCCCGGGCUUAACCUGGGAAUGGCAUUUGUGACUGCACGGCUAGAGUGUGUCAGAGGGGGGUAGAAUUCCACAUGUAGCAGUGAAAUGCGUAGAUAUGUGGAGGAACACCGAUGGCGAAGGCAGCCCCCUGGGAUAACACUGACGCUCAUGCACGAAAAGCGUGGGGAGCAAACAGGAUUAGAUACCCUGGUAGUCCACGCCCUAAAACGAUGUCAACUAGUUGUCGGGUCUUAAUUGACUUGGUAAACGCAGCUAAACGCGUGAAGUUGACCGCCUGGGGAGUACGUCGCAAGAUUAAAAACUUAAAGAAUUGACGGGGGUCA